rnacentral:misc_RNA from 1 species
GAUGAAGAACGUAGCGAAAUGCGAUACGUAAUGUGAAUUGCAGAAUUCAGUGAAUCAUCGAGUCUUUGAACGCACAUUGCGCCCCCUGGUAUUCCGGGGGGCAUGCCUGUCCGAGCGUCAUUGCUGCCCUCAAGCACGGCUUGUGUGUUGGGCCUCCGUCCUCCUCCCGGGGGACGGGCCCGAAAGGCAGCGGCGGCACCGCGUCCGGUCCUCGAGCGUAUGGGGCUUCGUCACCCGCUCUUGUAGGCCCGGCCGGCGCUUGCCGACACAUCAAUCUUUUUUCCAGGUUGACCUCGGAUCAGGUAGGGAUACCCGCUGAACUUAAGCAUAUCAUAAGCGGAGGA